rnacentral:tRNA from 1 species
CGCGGGGUAGUGUACGGUGCACGCGAGGCUCAUAAUCUUGCAGGCCGGGUUCGACUCCCGGCCCCGCAA